UAUGUGAUUUUAUCUGUCGUAUAGGGAUACAAGCCACCAGAUGAAGGUCCCUCUGAGUAUCAGACUAUUCCUCUGAACAAGAUAGAAGAUUUUGGUGUCCACUGCAAGCAGUACUACUCCUUAGAAGUGACCUACUUCAAGUCUGCACUUGAUCGGAGGUUGUUGGAACUAUUGUGGAACAAGUACUGGGUCAAUACACUCAGCUCCUCUUCACUUAUAACUAAUGCAGACUACACAACAGGGCAGGUAUUCGACCUGUCAGAGAAGUUAGAGCAGUCUGAAGCCCAGCUGGGGAGAGGCGGCUUCAUGUUGGGAGUGGAUCAUCAUGACAAGAAGUCUGAGGACAAGCUGGCAAAGGCUACAAGAGACAGGUAU